rnacentral:rRNA from 1 species
CCUACGGGUGGCUGCAGUGGGGAAUAUUGGACAAUGGGCGCAAGCCUGAUCCAGCCAUGCCGCGUGAGUGAAGAAGGCCUUCGGGUUGUAAAGCUCUUUUGUCCGGAAAGAAAAGCCCUUGAUUAAUACCUAGGGGUUAUGACGGUACCGGAAGAAUAAGCACCGGCUAACUUCGUGCCAGCAGCCGCGGUAAUACGAAGGGUGCAAGCGUUACUCGGAAUUACUGGGCGUAAAGCGUGCGUAGGUGGUCUGUUAAGUCUGAUGUGAAAGCCCUG